ACCUGACUGCUAUCGGAUUGAUACUAAGCCAUGCGAGUCAUUGUAGCAAUACAAGGCAUACGGCUCAGUAACGCGUAGUCAACCUAACCUAUGGACGGGAAUAACCUCGGGAAACUGAGAAUAAUGUCCGAUAGAACACUAUACCUGGAAUGGUUUGUGUUCCAAAUGAUUUAUCGCCAUAGGAUGGGACUGCGGCCUAUCAGUUUGUUGGUGAGGUAAUGGCCCACCAAGACUAUUACAGGUACGGGCUCUGAGAGGAGUAGCCCGGAGAUGGGUACUGAGACACGGACCCAGGCCCUAUGGGGCGCAGCAGGCGAGAAAACUUUGCAAUGUGCGAAAGCACGACAAGGUUAAUCCGAGUGAUUUGUGCUAAACGAAUCUUUUGUUAGUCCUAGAAACACUAACGAAUAAGGGGUGGGCAAGUUCUGGUGUCAGCCGCCGCGGUAAAACCAGCACCUCAAGUGGUCAGGAUGAUUAUUGGGCCUAAAGCAUCCGUAGCCGGCUCUGUAAGUUUUCGGUUAAAUCUGUACGCUUAACGUACAGGCUGCCGGGAAUACUGCAGAGCUAGGGAGUGGGAGAGGUAGACGGUACUCGGUAGGAAGUGGUAAAAUGCUUUGAUCUAUCGAUGACCACCUGUGGCGAAGGCGGUCUACCAGAACACGUCCGACGGUGAGGGAUGAAAGCUGGGGGAGCAAACCGGAUUAGAUACCCGGGUAGUCCCAGCUGUAAACUAUGCAAACUCAGUGAUGCAUUGGCUUGUGGCCAAUGCAGUGCUGCAGGGAAGCCGUUAAGUUUGCCGCCUGGGAAGUACGUACGCAAGUAUGAAACUUAAAGGAAUUGGCGGGGGAGCACCACAAGGGGUGAAGCCUGCGGUUC
rnacentral:rRNA from 1 species